rnacentral:rRNA from 1 species
UACGGAGGGUGCAAGCGUUAUCCGGAUUCACUGGGUUUAAAGGGAGCGUAGGUGGCUUUGUAAGUCAGUGGUGAAAUCUUAGAGCUCAACUCUAAAACUGCCAUUGAUACUGCUUAGCUUGAAUCACGUCGAGGUGGAUGGAAUAUUACAUGUAGCGGUGAAAUGCUUAGAUAUGUAAGGAAGACCAGUGGCGAAGGCGGGUCUCUGGACAGUUCCUGACGCUGAGGCACGAAGGUCAGGGGAGCAAACGGG